rnacentral:rRNA from 1 species
AUUGAACGCUAGCGGCAGGCCUUACACAUGCAAGUCGAACGAGUGGCGGACGGGUGAGUAAUAUCUCGGAACGUGCCCGAUGGCGGGGGAUAACUACUGGAAACGGUAGCUAAUACCGCAUACCAUCAGAUGUGCCCAUAUCGGAUUAGCUUGUAGGUGGGGUAAAGGCUCACCAAGGCGACGAUCCCUAGCUGGUUUGAGAGGAUGACCAGCCACACUGGAACUGAGACACGGCCCAGACUCCUACGGGAGGCAGCAGUGGGGAAUUUUGGACAAUGGGGGAAAGCCUGAUCCAGCCAUGCCGCGUGUAUGAUGAAGGCCUUCGGGUUGUAAAGUACUUUUGGCGGAGAAGCGUUAUCUGCAGAAUAAGCACCGGCUAACUACGUGCCAGCAGCCGCGGUAAUUC